rnacentral:rRNA from 1 species
UGACAGUACUCCUACGGGAGGCAGCAGUGGGAAUAUUGCACAAUGGAGGAAACUCUGAUGCAGCAACGCCGCGUGGAGGAUGACACUUUUCGGAGCGUAAACUCCUUUAUAUAGGAAGAUAAUGACGGUACUAUAUGAAUAAGCACCGGCUAACUCCGUGCCAGCAGCCGCGGUAAUACGGAGGUGCAAGCGUUACUCGGAAUCACUGGGCGUAAAGAGCGUGUAGGCGGGUUAGUUAAGUCAGAAGUAGAAAUCCUAUGGCUCAACCAUAGAACUGUCUUUGAAACUGGUAACCCUAGAGUAUGGGAGAGGUAGAUGGAAUUUCUGGUGUAGGGUAAAAUCCGUAGAGAUCAGAAGGAAUACCGAUUGCGAAGGCGAUCUACUGGAACAUUACUGACGCUGAGACGCGAAAGCGUGGGGAGCAAACAGGAUUAGAUACCCUGGUAG